rnacentral:lncRNA from 1 species
AGCUACAACUCUGGUUGCCUAACCAAGACCUUCCCGGGCCUUGAAGCCCCACUAGUAACUGGAGAAAAACACUUGGGAAAUUCUAUCCUUGGUGCACAGCUGGCUGCAUCUGACUCAGAAGAUCAGACUAAACAAAAAGUUCCAACUAAGGCCAGAGUGGGAGAUUUUGUUCACCCUCCUUCCCCGUCCUGCACUCUACUUUCCUAUUAGAGGACCAGCUUUAUAACAGAAAGUGACUUGAAUCUCAACAGAGUUCUUACUCUCCAUGGGCUUGUGGCUCAAGGUCACCAUGGGAUUCUGUUUUCUGCUCCCCAGCAGUGAAAACUCCAUGACAACUCCAGGUACGGACCAAGUUGAGUACAGGAACAGCCCUUUCUGUCAGUAGACGCUGCAGCUGGCAUGUGGACAGAACAAGCCAGACCACGCGUGG